rnacentral:misc_RNA from 1 species
CUUUGGGAUACCAUUGUGUAUUCCUGAAUACGAACCUCUCUGCGUAUUACUCCAUGUUGCUUCCACGGGUUAAGCUAUCAUGCUAGCACCUGUGGGAGAUCUUCACAUUAACAGAGUACUUGAUUAUGCUGUCUGAGCUGGCCAUGUGUCAGAUUUACUGAAGUAAAAACUUUCAACAACGGAUCUCUUGGCUCUCGCAUCGAUGAAGAACGCAGCGAAAUGCGAUAGGUAAUGUGAAUUGCAGAAUUCAGUGAAUCAUCGAAUCUUUGAACGCACAUUGCGCCCUUUGGUAUUCCUUAGGGCAUGCCUGUUCGAGCGUCACUAAAUACCUUAUCACAAUAUUUGUGGUCUUGGCAGGAGUGAAUUGCUGGUCUAUGGAAGUAUUCCAGCAGUACACAAU